rnacentral:rRNA from 1 species
GACGAACGCUGGCGGCGUGCCUAACACAUGCAAGUCGAACGGAGUGUUUAUUUAUAAACACUUAGUGGCGAACGGGUGAGUAACGCGUAUACAACCUACCCUCUAGAUGGGGACAACACCGCGAAAGUGGUGCUAAUACCGAAUGUUGUAAUGUUAUUGCAUAAUGAUAUUACUAAAGGUGGCCUCUAUAUAAAAGCUACCGCGAGAAGAUGGGUCUGCGUCUGAUUAGCUAGUUGGUGAGAUAACAGCUCACCAAGGCAAUGAUCAGUAGCCGGCCUGAGAGGAUGAACGGCCGCACUGGGACUGAGACACGGCCCAGACUCCUACGGGAGGCAGCAGUGGGGAAUCUUCCGCAAUGGACGAAAGUCUGACGGAGCAACGCCGCGUGAGUGAAGAAGGUUUUCGGAUCGUAAAGCUCUGUCUUCAAGGACGAAUGUAGAUAUUGUGAAUAAUGAUAUUUAAUGACGGUACUUGAGGAGGAAGCCACGGCUAACUACGUGCCAGCCGCCGCGGUAAAAC